CCAGACUCCUACGGGAGGCAGCAGUGGGGAAUUUUGGACAAUGGGCGCAAGCCUGAUCCAGCUAUUCCGCGUGUGGGAUGACGGCCCUCGGGUUGUAAACCACUUUAGUAGAGAACGAAAAGGAGCUAUCGAAUAAAUAGCUCUGCUGACGGUACUCUAAGAAUAAGCACCGGCUAACUACGUGCCAGCAGCCGCGGUAAUACGUAGGGGGCGAGCGUUAUCCGGAUUUAUUGGGCGUAAAGGGUGUGUAGGCGGUUUGUUAAGUCUAAAAUCAAAGCCCGAGGCUUAACCUCGGUUCGUUUUAGAAACUGGCAAACUAGAGUGCAGUAGGGGCAAGUGGAAUUUCUAGUGUAGCGGUUAAAUGCGUAGAUAUUAGAAGGAACACCAGUGGCGAAGGCGGCUUGCUGGGCUGUUACUGACGCUGAGACACGAAAGCGUGGGGAGCAAAUAGGAUUAGAUACCCCCGUA
rnacentral:rRNA from 1 species